rnacentral:lncRNA from 1 species
ACACAGAGAAACCCUGUCUCGGAAAAAAAAGAAAGUCCCCACAGACUUGCCUGUGGGCCAGUCUGAUAGUCAUUUUCUUGAUUGAGGUUCCCUCUUCUAAAAGGACUUUAGGUCUUGUUAAUAAAAAACUAACAAGUACACUAUUUGGGUUUUUUUGUUUUGUUUUGUUUUUUGUUUUAUUGCUGAACAUUAUCUUCAAAUAAUAAUAGAUUUCCUCUCAGUUCAUAGACAGACAUCUUAAUUCUACUUUUUUUUUUUUUUUUAAAGAUUUAUUUAUUUAUUAUAUGUAAGUACAUUGUAGCUGUCUUCAGACACUCCAGAAGAGGGAGUCAGAUCUCUUUACGGAUGGUUGUGAGCCACCAUGUGGUUGCUGGGAUUUGAACUCUGGACCUUCGGAAGAGCAGUCGGGUGCUCUAACCCACUGAGCCAUCUCACCAGCCCAUCUUAAUUCUACUUAGCCAUGUAGUUUGGCAUGUUGAUAGCAGUAAUUUUCUUUGGAUGUAGAGUUGUUUAUUUUCUUAAAUUUGCUUUUAAGUGAUCUUUAUGAAUUAUUUAUGUGGUUAAUCUAAAAUACAGGAAGCUCCUUGUAGGAAUAAUAAAAAUGUGUUUUUUGUGACAGAUGAGUGAAAGUAAUCUUUUCUUUUCUUCUUACUAAAUAGCACCAGUAACUCCAGAGAGUGGGUACUCGUCAGCCCAUGCAGAGGCCACCUAUGAAGAAGACUGGGAAGUAUUUGACCCGUGAGUUGUUUCCUGGUUAUCAAAUUUUCUUUCUUGAACAAUUUUUAGUUUCAUGAUAAAACUGGAAAUGUUAUUUGUUUAGUAGAAAAUCUUACUUUGGAUAUUGAGUUUCAACUUUUUCUCAAGUCAGCAGCACAUAACAAGAUACUCUCUCAUGAUGUUGGACAUUGAACUCCACCUCUCAUUCAUCUGGCACUCCUAAGGCCUAACCAGUACUCUGCAUUGUUUAACUUGGGCUUUAUAGUUUCUUAAUACUAUGUUUGCUAGCCUAGGUAUAUUAGAUGCAUUUUUAAUAGGAUAUUUCAACAUAAAAGCGAUAAUCUCAUGAAUAGAGGCAUCUGUUUUACAAAGAGCUUGUGAUCUUGAGCUGUGGGUAUCAGUACUUGGUGAGUUUUUGUAGACACUAAUCUGUGUACUUUCUUACAUGUUUUCUAAAUUAGUUUACUGGGUUAAGUGUUGAAUUAUUCAUGGCUUCAUUGCUGUGACCAAAUACCUUAGGGAGGGUAACUCAGUAUGUUAUAAGCAGUCAGUUAAGAAUAGAAAUAAAUCAGAAAGGUGAAAAGACUUCGUAAGUGGGUGCCUUGUGAGCUAAUGGCAAAGAAAAACAAUAUGUCAUUUUGGACUUCCUUAUUCUAAGCAUCAAGGAACUUAAUUGUGACAUGCAAAGAAAUAUAAAUACCAACCACGGUGUAGAGGAUCAAUCCGUGAUCUUGAGAAGACGCUCCAGAGAAUGUUUUACUCUUCUUAGAGCCAAACAUGCACUGAAAAAAAAGUCACGUGGUUGGUGUUUGGUGGUCUGCUGCCAGGAUGAUCCACACAGAUGUCUGUCUAGAGCAACGCAUUAUGUCUGUCUGUGUUCUGCAGUCUAGGAGAUGGGUUGAAACAGUAUAGUACUUCAAAUGGGGGCUUUUUUUCAGACCCAUGCAGAGGCCACUUUUUUUUUUUUUUUUUUAAAGAUUAACUAUAUAAAAGUAUGUAGCUGUCUUCAGACACUCCAGAAGAGGGAGUCAAAUCUUGUUAUGGGUGGUUGUGAGCCACCAUGUGGUUGCUGGGAUUUGAACUCAGGACCUCUGGAAGAGCAGUCAGUGCUCUUAACCGGUGAGCCAUCUCUCCAGCCCAGGGAAAACUUUUAUACUACCAUCAGCAUGCAAAAAAGGCUGUCUAAGAAUUUGCUGAGUCCUGAGCAGUGGUUUUCAACCUUCCUAAUGAUGUGACCCUUAAUACAGUUCCUCAAGGUGUAGUGACCCCAACUAUAAAUUUAUCUUCAUUUUACUACUUCAUAACUGUAAUUUUGCAAUCAUAACGAUUCCUGUUAUGAAUCGUAAUGUAAAUAUCUGACAUGUAGAAUAUCUGAUUUGUAACCCCUGUGAUUUUACUCUUAAAGGGUUAUGACCCACAGGUUGAGAACAGCUACACUACAGGAAUAAACAAACUUUACUUCUUGUAGGUUAAAAUGUGUCAGUUCUUCCUACUGGGGAGAUGUAUGUGUUUGAGUCUAGUUAUGGCUUAAAAUUCAGUCUGGCAUAGCAGUUCCUUUUGUGCCAAUGUAAUAAAUCUAGUGGGAUAGACAAUGAAAACUAGCCACCUCGAGUCUGCUUUUAUUUUAUUUUGUACUUGGAAGAUUGAACCCAAGGCCUUGUACAUUCUAGGAAAGUGCUUUAUAGCUAAUCAUAUGACAAGCUAAUUAAAAUUUAGAAUUUAAUACUAUCUUCUAUGUAUAAAACAUAGAAAUGUUGAAAUUUUCUUAAAAUUUGAUUUAUAGCUAUUAUUUCAUCAAACAUGUUCCGCCUCUGACAGAAGAACAGCUAAAUAGGAAACCUGCUCUUCCUUUGAAAACAAGAAGCACACCAGAGUUCUCCCUGGUCUUAGAUCUGGUGAGUGUGAUCUUUACAGGUAUAAAGAAUAAGAGCUAAAAUCCAGAAUACAAAUGAACAAGCAGUCAUAAUAUUUACUGUAAAUAUGUUCUGAGUAUUUUGAAUGGUUUUAUUUAGGCACCCUAGCAUUAGACCAGUUUGUUUGGGACCGGCACAUUUUGAAAAUAUGUAAGACUUUUACUUUUGCAUUUAAAUAAAAUUUUUUUUCUCUACAUUUUUGAGACCCUGUGAUUUGUUUUUGUUUAUUUGAUUUUGUUUUUGAGGUGUUGGGUAUUAUUCCAGGGUCUGGUUAUGCAAGACAAGUGUUAUUAUUACUACAUUAUAUCCUAAGCCUAAAGCAGUUGUAUUUAUUAUAUUUUGCCUGGAUAGAAACAGCUCCCUGGAACCGGCGUUACUGAGUAGUUGUAACUAAACCCAGAUCAUCUGUAAGAGCACCAAAUUUUCUUAGUCACUGAAUCUCUCCACUUAAUAUAUCUCCCUGUAAAUUGGAAUGCCUAGCAUUAAGAUUUCCUCUUAUUUUUAGAAUCUUGUUUUCCUGAAAUACAAUUUGACUUCAGUUAACUAGCCUGGGCUGGCCUCAAACUCUCCUUGUAGCUUAGGAUGAUUUUGAACUUCUGAACCUGCUACUUUGACCGAAGGUGGGCCAUGUGGCACUAUGCCUGUGUCUGGCGUUAGGGAGUAAACCUCGGGCUUUUACAUACUGAACCCUUGCCAGCUGAGCUUUAUCCCUGAUCACCAAGCAACUUUCAAAAUAGACUUGAUUUUUUUUUCUUUGAUGUGAUUUAAAAAUUUUUGCAUACCUGGAAUGGGGCUUUAUAUGCUUUUAGCCUGAAUUGUGGAAGAGGCCGAGACACACACAGUAGCUUGUGAGGGUUUGGGCCCAGGCUAGGCAAUUUAGAAAGACUUUUGUCUGAAAAAACUUACAUUUAUACUAUUGGGUAGAAAAGAACUUUGAAUUAAAUAUUUUAUGUUUUGCUAACCCAUUUUAUUAUUUGUGUGAAUACCACAUUUACUGUUUGCUUUUAGUUUUCCAAUAUCAUCAAAAGAUAUAUCUAAUGAAUUGUGCUGGAAAACAUUUUAUUGUUUAACACUUAUCACUGAUAUCUCAUUAAUAGAAAUGUGAUUUAAUUCUCAAAAAUAUCUUAAAGAAAAGCCAGUUCUUUAACUUUUUAUUGUUUGUUUGUUUGUUUCUUUGGUUGGUUGGGUUUUUGAGACUGAGUUUCUCUGUGUGUCCCUGGCUGUCCUGGAACUCUCUGUGUAAACCAGGCUGGCCUCCCAAGUGCUGAGAUAAAAGGCAUAUGUCACCACUCCCCUGCACAUUUUUUAAUUAGUGCACAAUAUUUAUGUUUUUAUACUUCAUAAUCAUAGCCUUUACAAUUCAGAGAUGUAAAAGAAAUAACAAAUUCUAAAAUAUUUUUAGAGAAUAUAUG